rnacentral:rRNA from 1 species
GAUGAACGCUGGCGGCGUGCCUAAUACAUGCAAGUCGAGCGAACAGACGAGGAGCUUGCUCCUCUGACGUUAGCGGCGGACGGGUGAGUAACACGUGGAUAACCUACCUAUAAGACUGGGAUAACUUCGGGAAACCGGAGCUAAUACCGGAUAAUAUAUUGAACCGCAUGGUUCAAUAGUGAAAGACGGUUUUGCUGUCACUUAUAGAUGUAUCCGCGCCGCAUUAGCUAGUUGGUAAGGUAACAGCUUACCAAGGCAACGAUGCGUAGCCGACCUGAGAGGGUGAUCGGCCACACUGGAACUGAGACACGGUCCAGACUCCGACGGGAGGCAGCAGUAGGGAAUCUUCCGCAAUGGGCGAAAGCCUGACGGAGCAACGCCGCGUGAGUGAUGAAGGUCUUCGGAUCGUAAAACUCUGUUAUUAGGGAAGAACAAAUGUGUAAGUAACUAUGCACGUCUUGACGGUACCUAAUCAGAAAGCCACGGCUAACUACGUG